UGUACAAUAAGGCCUUCAUGGGUGGUGGCUCACACCCCUUUGCACGUUUUUUGGGAAAGGGGGUGAUGCCGAUGACAGUAUUCGAAACACUUUUUUUGAUGAUUUCCUUCGGAACAUUAAUCAUAGCCAUACUGUCAAACCAGAAAAAAUAACCACCCAUAGGCCUGGCAAGCAUAAUGGGUAGUUAGUUUUUCAAAAACCUGUAAUGUGAGCCGCCCCCUUGAAGGGCUGUUGUGCGUGACCGUUAGUGUAUUUGCACUAGCG
rnacentral:sRNA from 1 species